rnacentral:rRNA from 1 species
CAGCCGCCACGGUAAUACGAAGGGUGCAAGCGUUACUCGGAAUUACUGGGCGUAAAGCGUGCGUAGGUGGUGGUUUAAGUCCGUUGUGAAAGCCCUGGGCUCAACCUGGGAAUUGCAGUGGAUACUGGAUCACUAGAGUGUGGUAGAGGAUAGUGGAAUUUCCGGUGUAGCAGUGAAAUGCGUAGAGAUCGGAAGGAACAUCUGUGGCGAAGGCGACUAUCUGGACCAACACUGACACUGAGGCACGAAAGCGUGGGGAGCAAACAGGAUUAGAUACCCCCGUAGUCCCUGUCUCUAUACA